UGGCUCUGGCAUCGAUGAAGAACGCAGCGAAAUGCGAUACGUAAUGUGAAUUGCAGAAUUCCGUGAAUCAUCGAAUCUUUGAACGCACAUUGCGCCCGCCAGUAUUCUGGCGGGCAUGCCUGUUCGAGCGUCAUUUCAACCCUCAGCACGCCCCCGCAAGGGGGAGCUGGCGUUGGGGAUCAGCGUAAGCGCCUGGCGGCCCGCCGCCACGCCCGCUGGCCCUCGAAUACAGUGGCGGUCUUGCCCUGGGCUCCCUCGCGUAGUAACUCACCUCGCCCGCGGAAACCAGGCCCGGCCACGCCGUAAAACCCCCUACUUUCACAUGGUUGACCUCGAAUCAGGUAGGAAUACCAGCUGA
rnacentral:misc_RNA from 1 species